UACGUAGGUGGCAAGCGUUGUCCGGAUUUACUGGGCGUAAAGAGCGCGCAGGCGGUCGAAUAAGUCGAAUGUGAAAGCCCCCGGCUCAACUGGGGAGGGUCACGCGAUACUGAUCGACUCGAAGGCAGGAGAGGGUAGUGGAAUUCCCGGUGUAGUGGUGAAAUGCGUAGAUAUGCGGAGGAACACCGAUGGCGAAGGCAAUCCCCUGGACCUGUACUGACGCUCAUGCACGAAAGCGUGGGGAGCAAACAGG
rnacentral:rRNA from 1 species